rnacentral:lncRNA from 1 species
UGGAAGAAAGAAUGUUAGCUGUAACGUUAAGAUACGGGAAGAGAGCGGUGUGGAUCAGAGAGCAAACGGGGAUAGCCGAUAUUCUAGUAGACA